GAACGCGAAGAACCUUACCAAGGCUUGACAUGCACGGCGGCACUGCAGAGAUGUGGUGGCAUUUAGUUGGUCGUGUGCAGGUGGUGCAUGGUUGUCGUCAGCUCGUGUCGUGAGAUGUUGGGUUAAGUCCCGCAACGAGCGCAACCCUUGCCCUAUGUUGCCAGCACGUGAUGGUGGGGACUCGUGGGGGACUGCCGGGGUUAACUCGGAGGAAGGUGGGGAUGACGUCAAAUCAUCAUGCCCCUUAUGUCUUGGGCUUCACGCAUGCUACAAUGGUUGGUACAGAGGGUUGCGAUACUGUGAGGUGGAGCGAAUCCCUUAAAGCCAGUCUCAGUUCGGAUUGGGGUCUGCAACUCGACCCCAUGAAGGUGGAGUCGCUAGUAAUCGCAGAUCAGCAACGCUGCGGUGAAUACGUUCUCGGGUCUUGUACACACC
rnacentral:rRNA from 1 species